GGCUCUCAGCACCUCCACUAUACAAAUUGUUCCAGCACCCUUGGGCAGAACAGGUUAUUAAGCUGAUUAAUCUGAUAGCCUGCACCUGGGUGAGAGCCAGAGCCUGAAACACUAAUUGAUGAUGAAGCCUAGCUGGGCAGGGGCUUGUAGAAAGCCAGCAAGCUAAGACUGGAAGGGGGCUGCAGGUAGUCUGUAGUCACUCCUGGGGAGAAGAGAGGUAUGUUUGGGGCUAUGGAGGCUGUCAAGAAGCCAGAGAUAGUGUAGUCUGUAACUCCUUCCUGAGAGCAGGGAGUUUGGGCUUGUAAACUCAAAGGAGGUCCAAAAGAUAAAGAGGGAAGUAGGAAGAAGUCCAGGGAAGUAGCAACAGGAUCUGGGAGCUAGCAGGCUAUAGUUGUCAAAUAUAAGGUCCCUGGCCUGGAACCCAGAGUAGUGGGUGAGCCUAGGUUCCUCUAUUAGCUGCUGGGAAAGCAGCACUGGACUUGGCCUUGGGCUGGAAGGUUGACUGGAAUGGCCAAUGGGACUUUGAUACCCUGGAAGGGGAGAGCUAUAGUGAUUUGGCUGGAGGGCUGAGUCAUGAAGAAGGAGCACCCUGAAUCCCAGAGAAAGAUCGAGACCACACGGUGAGGAACUGGCAGAUGGAGGCAUCAGGCUGGUGGAGAGUUAAUUCCCAAGGUGGCCAGAAGGAGGUGCCCUAGUGGAGUUUCUCCUGCUCCUGGUUGGAGGCUAACAGGCUCUGUAGGGAAGCAUGCAAUCUGGGUCCAGCAGCAAUGACUUUGCAGAUCACCUUCCUCUCGGCAGGCUGGGUUACAGAGAGAAGGAGGAGAGUAUGCUGUGAAGGCAGGGUAGUGUGAAGAAUAGAAGAGAAGCCAAGCCCUGUUUUAUCUAUUAGUACUUUUCCUUUUCCUGCUUUAUCAGAGAAGGCCCUUCUGUCUCACCUCUUCUGUUUCUCUCUUAUUUUUGUAAUCAUUUUAAGAAUUCUGUGACAAAAUCUGAAUCAGAGAAAUGUAGGCCUGGAAGGGACCUUGAGAAAUCAAGUCCUGCCCCCUGAGAUGUGGCAGGCCCAAGUAAACCUAAAAUUAUCUUCUUCCCUUAUAUUUAAAAAGCAAACAAACAAAAAACCCACUCCACUUUUGCAAGUGUUGAUACAAUUAAUUUAAACUUAAAAUGUCUUGGAAAGCUCACGGCUUUGGAUGGAAAAUAUCGCCCAGUUGUUCCUGAUGAAUCCCUUAUUCUUUAUUGAAACUUCCUAAGUAGUUCAAGUAUCCCUGAGGAUUGUAACAGAUUUCCAUUUUCAAAUCCAGCUCAAUUCAUCAUUGCAUGUUGGUCCCUUGACUUCUUUUUCCUUUAUUUUGUAUCAUGUCUGCCUCUUCUAGCUGAGUCCUCUGAAUCAUUUACUUGAAGAAUUCUCCUAAGCUGUCUCAAUGAAGAGCAUUCUUAGCUUUGAAAGUCACCUGGGUAUUUCCUGCCUGCUCCAAGCCAUGAAUCCUCAGAUCCUCUGUUUUGGUCUCAUUGUUUCAGAUCUCCCCAUGGGGAAUUCUUAGUCUUUUUUUUUUCUAUAGAUAUUUUUCAC